UUUAUUAGCACUUAACAGUAAACAGGAACCACAUUGAAAUGAUAGUAUGGUGCCAAUUCUCUUUUGUCCGGAUCAAUUUUUAUUGGUUUCGACCUCCACCAUUGCCGGUUCACUGUGGGAUGAUGUAAUAGGUUCCGCCGUUUAGCAUUACUUCACCAUCGAUCCUACUCAUUCACACGCUAGUUGGUAGAAGUUUUGAAUAAGUAUUUAGUUGUGCAAUGGAUCCCUCUAUCAUGAAGCAACUCGAAGAGGAUGAGGUAUUUAUCCUCUCUUGCCGAUGUUUUAUAAGUAUAUUAAUUUGUGUUGUAAAUUUCUAAGUAUGUUUUGGUUGCCUUAGAGAUGUGCUAGUUUUGACGCUUAUUUUUGCUUACGUGAUCCAUCAAUAACCCCUUACUUUAACACUUAUCAAUAAGAUGUCAAUUGAAUAAUGCAAAAAAAGUGCAAAUGAGGCGAGUUUAAAUAUAAGGAGGAUGUAUAUUAUUAUGGAACCCAAGGAAAGGAUGUAGCUAGGGCCCAAGUACCGAACUACCGACAUGUAAAGUGAUAGGAUGAAACUUAGUUUUCAUUUGCUAUAACAAAAACGUGGACUACAAUUGUGGUAGAUGUAGAACAAUUAUUUAAUUGGCGUUACUUGUACAAAUUAAACUUCAUUGAUUUUAAAAGUGAUAGGAUUAAGUGUGACAUCACUGACAUGUAACGAUGUAAAUCAUGUCAAAGGUGAGUUUGUACACUUAUGUGAGAUUGCAUUCUAAUUAUUCCUUAAUACCACCCAUCAAAUUUGAUGUGAAAGCAAGUCAAACAUGAAAAUUAUAUAGCCAUUAUAAUCUAAUUUGAAGCAAGGGUGUGUGUUGGAAUAUGUGCUACAAAUUGUUAGUGGGUAAUUAAUUAACUCCUAAUGUACAAGAAUUUGCUCUCCUAAGUGAUUAGUUUGUGUUAGCGGAGUAUUAUGAGUAUUGGGUUUAGUGGGUUAAUGCUAGGCAUGAUCUAAUCAUCAUCAUAGAAUCGUGUUCCUUAAUUUUAGUUUAGUAUUGAAUACAAAAUUAGUUUAUGUUAUUCUUUGUCCUCUCCCAUAUCUAUAAUUAUAAUUUUAACUCAUUCAAGCAAAGCAUGCUCACAAUGUUUUGUUGUACACCGGCUGCAAAUAGCAGCUCUUUUAAACUCAGCUUACUUAUAAUGCUUUGGAUGAUUUUUGACUCAAGAUCAGUUGAUACUAUUCGACAUGGUGUUAUUUGGAUGAUUAUUACGGACUACAGAGUAGCCUUUUAAAUUCCAGGUUUAAUAUAUCUUAAUUAGUUAAGCAUAAUGUACAUCAUUUAUUGUACAAUGUUAAUUUGACUAAUCUAGUGUAAUAAAGGGGCCGACUUCAAACACACAUAUCUCUCAAUCCAAAAAUGGCAUUGAGGUGAUUCAAGUUGGAGGUGAUAGCUUGUUUUAAAAGAUUUCCAACAAUAGGUCAUAUGCCCAAUUCCGAAAAGAAAUGAGAAAGUUAUGGCUGUUUUACGGAUAGCUAUCGAAGCUGGGCCGGGAAGGUGCACGGACGUGCCCUGCAUAGCACGCCCAUGCUUAGUCACGUGAAUGUUUUUUUGCUUCCUAAUUUCGGGUACGCUUAUGACGGCUACUAAUGCUAUUCCUUGGAGAAUAAUUAGGGUUUUGUAUAGUUUUCUUAUGUUAUAUAAGAAAUCGUUAAGCCUAGCGAGCCAAUAUGUAACUCCACUCGAGAAGUUUUGUGAGAUGAAGAGAGUUGUAUCUUCUUUGAUUAUAUCUCUUGUUUAUCCUCAGAACGAUGUACAUUUCAUGUCAUUUUUAUCCGAAUAUUAUAUUUGCAUUAA